rnacentral:rRNA from 1 species
GACGAACGCUGGCGGCGUGCUUAACACAUGCAAGUCGAACGGUGAAGCGCCUUCCUUUUUGGUGGGUGUGGAUGAGUGGCGAACGGGUGAGUAACACGUGAGUAACCUGCCCCCUUCUUCUGGAUAACCGCAUGAAAGUGUGGCUAAUACGGGAUAUUCUGGGUCUGUCGCAUGAUGGGUCUGGGAAAGAUAUUGUUUCGGUGGGGGACGGGCUCGCGGCCUAUCAGCUUGUUGGUGGGGUGAUGGCCUACCAAGGCGGUGACGGGUAGCCGGCCUGAGAGGGUGGACGGUCACACUGGGACUGAGACACGGCCCAGACUCCUACGGGAGGCAGCAGUGGGGAAUAGUGCACAAUGGGCGCAAGCCUGAUGCAGCGACGCCGCGUGAGGGAUGGAGGCCUUCGGGUUGUGAACCUCUUUCGCCAGUGAAGCAGGCCUGCCUCGUUUGUGGGUGGGUUGACGGUAGCUGGAUAAGAAGCGCCGGCUAACUACGUG